UACGAAGGGUGCAAGCGUUACUCUGAAUUACUGGGCGUAAAGCGUGCGCAGGCGGUAAUGUAAGACAGUUGUGAAAUCCCCGGGCUCAACCUGGGAACUGCAUCUGUGACUGCAUUGCUGGAGUACGGCAGAGGGGGAUGGAAUUCCGCGUGUAGCAGUGAAAUGCGUAGAUAUGCGGAGGAACACCGAUGGCGAAGGCAAUCCCCUGGGCCUGUACUGACGCUCAUGCACGAAAGCGUGGGGAGCAAACAGG
rnacentral:rRNA from 1 species